rnacentral:rRNA from 1 species
AAUCAACGCUGGCGGCGUGCCUCAGGCAUGCAAGUCGAACGAUUAAAGCUCCCUUCGGGGAGUGCAUAAAGUGGCGCACGGGUGAGUAACACGUAAGUAAUCUACCCUCGGGUGGGGAAUAACAUCGGGAAACCGAUGCUAAUACCGCAUAAUGCAGCGGCACCGCAAGGUGACAGUUGUUAAAGAUUUAUUGCCUGGGGAGGAGCUUGCGGCAGAUUAGCUUGUUGGAAGGUAACGGCUUACCAAGGCUACGAUCUGUAUCCGGUCUAAGAGGACGGUCGGACACACUGACACUGAAUAACGGGUCAGACUCCUACGGGAGGCAGCAGUCGGGAAUUUUGGGCAAUGGGGGAAACCCUGACCCAGCAACGCCGCGUGAAGGAUGAAGUAUUUCGGUAUGUAAACUUCGAAAGAAUAAGGAAGAAUUAAUGACGGUACUAUUUAUAAGGUCCGGCUAACUACGUG